rnacentral:rRNA from 1 species
UACGUAGGGUGCAAGCGUUGUCCGGAAUUAUUGGGCGUAAAGAGCUCGUAGGCGGUUUGUCGCGUCUGCUGUGAAAACUCGGGGCUUAACUCCGGGCCUGCAGUGGGUACGGGCAGACUAGAGUGCGGUAGGGGAGACUGGAAUUCCUGGUGUAGCGGUGAAAUGCGCAGAUAUCAGGAGGAACACCGGUGGCGAAGGCGGCUCUCUGGACCCUUGCCUGACGCUGAGGCGCGAAAGCGUGGGGAGCGAUCCGG